GACAGAGGGGGCAAGCGUUGCUCGGAAUUACUGGGCGUAAAGGGCGCGUAGGCGGAAUGGCAAGUCGGUCGUGAAAUCCUUCGGCUCAACCGAAGAACGUCGAUCGAAACUGCCGUUCUUGAGGAUUGCAGAGGAGACUGGAAUUCCCGGUGUAGCGGUGAAAUGUGUAGAGAUCGGGAGGAACACCGGUGGCGAAGGCGGGUCUCUAGUACGGUACUGACGCUGAGACGCGAAAGCGUGGGGAGCGAACAGG
rnacentral:rRNA from 1 species